GGAGCCCGGCGAAAGCCGGAUUAAUACCGCAUGAGGCGUGAGGGUGAAAGCGGGGGAUCGAGACCUCGCGCUAUUGGAGCGGCCGAUAUCAGAUUAGCUAGUUGGUGGGGUAAAGGCCCCAAGGCAACGAUCUGUAGUUGGUCUGAGAGGACGACCAGCCACACUGGGACUGAGACGGCCCAGACUCCUACGGGAGGCAGCAGUGGGGAAUUUUGGACAAUGGGCGCAAGCCUGCCAGCAAUGCCGCGUGCAGGAAGAAGGCCUUCGGGUUGUAAACUGCUUUUGUCAGGGAAAAUCCUCUGGGUUAAUACCUCGGGGGGAUGACGGUACCUGAAGAAUAAGCACCGGCUCUACGUGCCAGCAGCCGCGGUAAUACGUAGGGUGCGAGCGUUAAUCGGAAUUACUGGGUAAAGCGUGCGCAGGCGGCUUUGCAAGACAGAUGUGAAAUCCCCGGGCUCAACCUGGGCUGCAUUUGUGACUGCAAGGCUAGAGUACGGCAGAGGGGGAUGGAAUUCCGCGUGUAGGUGAAAUGCGUAGAUAUGCGGAGGAACACCGAUGGCGAAGGCAAUCCCCUGGGCCUGUUGACGCUCAUGCACGAAAGCGUGGGGAGCAAACAGGAUUAGAUACCCUGGUAGUCCACCCUAAACGAUGUCAACUGGUUGUUGGACGGCUUGCUGUUCAGUAACGAAGCUAACGCG
rnacentral:rRNA from 1 species